rnacentral:lncRNA from 1 species
AAAUCAAAUUAAUACGAAUACAUAUAGUGCGGAAACGUUCAUGCUUAACAAUAUCCAUCCAUUACCCAACCUGUCAGCAUAUGGCUCUGAUGCCAACUGUGACAGUUUUCAUGGUCACAUCACAAGGUACCUAUCCGCUUGCCACCCGCACGUCGUGCGUUCAUAAUACAACUUAAAUUUCAAAAUAUACAUCACAGAUAUCCGAAUGAUACAUUAAACUUCCAAAGUACAAUCAUAAAGGGGUCAAGCCAAAAUACACCUGAAACCCUAAAACAAAAUAUAUCCAAAAGGAGAUUUCUCCGCGUUAACUCCAUUUCCAGUCCUGUUAAGGAAAACAAGUCUACAGGGUGAGCAAAACGCUCGUGAGGCCAAGGACACACAUGCAAGCACAUUGUUCAAAUAGCAAUCUCAACUUUAUCAAAUAAAACCGUGAUAUUUCAAUAAAGUACCAUUUGAGCAGGAAAAAUAAUCAGAAACAAUUCAAGGAUAUAGUAGCUCUCAGGAGCUAAGUUCCACUCGCUCUGCCGAUGUCAUUCGUAUACUUUCCCGCAUUGACCCUCCUGUCAACCGGGUCGGUAUUUCCAUUUCCGUAGAUCACCACUUACUUCCCUCCGUCCACCGUACACCCCAAGGGCCCACAAGUCUAUUAUAAGGCGAUACUUUACGAGUAUGCCAAGCAGGACCUCUUAUUAGGUCGAGCUUAUAAUCUCAUGGCUCGCCCAAGUUCCCGACCAAGCCCAUUGCCGGCUCGAGUUCAAGGUCGGCCUAUGAGUUUGGGCGUCCCCCAUUCAUUUGGAAGUCGAGGAGGUUCACUCCAACGACAUAUGUAACCAUUACAUAGCAUUGCAUUUCAUUCAUUCAUUCAAUACAUUUCAUUCAAUACAUUUCAUUCAUUCAUUCAAUACAUUUCAUUCAUUCAUUCAAUACAUUUCAUUCAUUCAUUGGAAAUCAGAACGGAUGCGAUAAAGUACACACCCGCCCUUAUUUUUAAAAUCUCUAAUAAUUACCACAAUUAAGCAAGUAUCAAAGAUUCACACACUUGACACUCACCGAGCAAUUUAAUAAAGAUUAUUCGCUGGAGUUCAAGUGUCCAUGGUGAAAUCCUCUUGAAGGUCUC